rnacentral:rRNA from 1 species
GUCCAGAUCAUUAGAAGCCCAACUGAGCCAGGGAUCAGAUAAGGUGUCCCCGUUCUGAGUAGGUCCUGACGGCGGCGCUCGUGCUGCAUCAGCGGCCACGCGAAAAAAUGGAGGGUUCUGGGCUGAAUUUCCUGCUCGACGCCGUUGACAGGUUCCCAUUGCGAGAGGAGUUCGCCAACAACAUCGAGCAGCCAGAUCCGGUUCCUAUGGCCUUCUUGCCCAACAACGAAGCUGGUCUUGCCGUUCAUGAAGACUCGAAUGCUGGGUCUGGGUGCGCUAAGCAGCUUGGCGGCGAUGGGACUGGUAGAGAAGGAGUUAGUGUCCACCGGCGUCGGGAUGCAUCUCCGACGAGGUCGGCGCAGUCGACCGACCGAGUCAUUCUGGAGGCACCUAGAUGGACGAAAAGGUCUGCACCCAAACCCUCCCAUUCUUGUGCUGUAAUUUUUCAACUGUGACUGUCUUCGUCUCCUCUGUGCAUCAUUUUGUCAAAAAACUGGUUUGCUUUAGCAAAAAUCCUUAAUAUUUUUUUGUCAUAUCUAAAUGGCCCUAUCUAAAUAGUAAGCCGUGGCAUUGCAGCCCUUGCUUAGAGGUGCCUUCUUUUAAAGUCAGGAUCGCGUUCACCAUCUUUUCAGAAAUUAGUGUUGCAGAUUAACUCGAUGUCUGGAUCAAUGUAAAUUAUGUUGUAAGAAGAGGACGAUGCUAGUGUUGGAACAUCAGCCCAGGUGGGGGUGCGGAUGGAGCGAGGUGGAGGAUCAGGAUCAGAGGCAAGGGAUCUGGCCAGAAAACAUGGCCUGAGCAGGGGCUUGUGCGGAUAGCUUGAGAUUGCCGAAUACCUUGCUAAGUGCGGGAUUCGGUAUGAGGUGAUUCUCAGAAGGACGAAACAGCUAUGGCGAGUGGUUCAGGGAAUCCACCAGUUGAUCCUUCAGUAACGAGUGAGUGUGGGGAGAAGUUCCCUCCGCCAGUCGGUCUAAACCAUGAUGAGCCGUCAAUUAGGGAUGUUUUGUGGUUCUACGACAACAUGAUGGGCUGUUCGGACGGGAAGCUGCCGAAAUAAGGCGUCUAUCUUGACCAGGACCUUAAGGAUGAGCUUGGGCCUAGAGGUGAGAUUACAGUGGAUGGCUGCAGGGGCAUCCAUCAAAUGUUAACUGCGAAAGAGUUGAUGAUAUAUACCAUGGAUGGCUAGCAAGAUGGAGAGAGAUUUUGGAUCCCUGCUUUGUGGAAGAACUUUGCAAACCAGAUGAUGAAGUUGACUGGGAUUACAUCUGUAAGAUGAUGGAGUCCAAGCUAAUGGGAAACAAGAUUGAGUGGCUGAAGAAGUGCACUUCAUGGGUUGCUGGUCCUUGUACAUCCUGGACCCCGAGAAGGAGAUCUUCACGGUCUUGGACCCAGCUGAGACACACCCUACUGAUGAGAUGGAAAGGAAGCACAUCGCCAAUGCAAAAAGAUUCUAGCUUCUAUUCUGCCAAUGCUUCAGAGACAUAUUCGGUGGCUGGUUGGUUGAAGUGGAAGGAUGGACUUUCCUGUAUGCCUUUAUGUCCCAGCAUGAUCCUUGCGCUAGGGAGGAGAGAAGCGUUUACAUUGUGCACUACAUCCAUGAGUUCAAUGGGCUCUACCUGCGAUCUAUCAUCAGAGGAUAAGUAUCGGGCAUCACAUUUUGAUGAAUGUUGUAGUAACUUGUGAUGAACAUAGGUUUCAUUAAUAUGUGACCUCAUUUGUGUGCACAGAUAUUGUUUGAUCACCUGCGGCUCGCAUAUGAGAUCGUGACUAUGAGAGGGAACCAGCGUGACCUGCCAAGAGUUUCCCGUGCUUUGAAACCGUAGACCGAGGGAAUGAAGCGGAAUAGUUGCAGGGUGGUCCUAAUUUUUGACUCUGUCAUGCGUGUGUUCCUUAGUGUAUUUUUUCACUUUUGGUUUGUCGCCUCUGAAUUUGUAACCCAAAUGUGGGUACUGUAAACUGGACAAUGGGUUUGAAUUUGUAAUGUCAAACCUGAAGUACUAGUCGAAUGUUGAAGUCGAAGCAUUUCCUUGAAACUUGG